GACGAACGCUGGCGGCGUGCUUAACACAUGCAAGUCGAACGGAAAGGCCCUGCUUUUGUGGGGUGCUCGGGUGGCGAACGGGUGAGUAACACGUGAGUAACCUGCCCUUGACUUUGGGAUAACUUAAGGGAACUGGGGCUCAUACCGGAUAGGAGCUCCUGCUGCAUGGUGGUGGUUGGAAAGUUUCGGCGGUUGGGUCUGUACUCGCGGCUUAUCCGCUUGUUGGUGGGGUAGUGGCUUACCAAGGCUUUGACGGGUAGCCGGCCUGAGAGGGUGACCGGCCACAUUGGGACUGAGAUACGGCCCAGACGCCUACGGGAGGCAGCAGUGGGGAAUAUUGCACAGUGGGCGGGAGCCUGAUGCAGCAACGCCGCGUGCGGGAUGACGGCCUUCGGGUUGUAAACCGCUUUCGCCUGUGACGAAGCGUGAGUGACGGUAAUGGGUAAAGAAGCACCGGCUAACUACGUG
rnacentral:rRNA from 1 species